CCGGACCGCGUGCCGCCGCGCCGACCCUGCCGGGAAGGACGCGACGGACGCCGAGCCACUCACCAGAGCCGAGGCGCCGCGCGGCCCGACUGACGGCAGCGAGCGAGCCCGGCGGGCGGCGCGGGCAGCGGUCAGGCUGUGGCUGCCAGGAAACUUGGAGCCAGGUUCAGCGCCUAGUGGUGUCAGCCGGCCCCGCUCGAGCCCUGGUCGGGCUUUCCUCCUCCGGUGCUUGUUCCAAUUGUCAAUUUUAAAAUUAUGUUCCCAAGCCAUUUAGCACCUCUGGAGUGCAAAGCACUGUCGUCUUCGAAAAGAUACACACGGGGCAAAGCCCAAGCUUAUCAAUCUAGAGAGAAAACUGAGACUGUGCCAGGCAACCUGAUUGGAGUUCCGAUGGUCUGUGUGAAGGGAUUUUGCUGUCGGCUUUGAGUUCAAGUGGAGAGAGAAGAGGCGAUGGAGAGAAAUUGGUGGCUGGACAGCCGCAGCACCAGGGUGUGUGGACUCAUUCUUGGACACAGGAAGACAGCCCUGGAGCUCCCAGGGCAAAAAAAAGGUUACCAAGAUAAUAAAGUCAGGUAUUAUCACUAA